rnacentral:sRNA from 1 species
ACCGACAAACUGAGCUCCAUCACACAAGAGGCUGUUGUCCUAGGAAAAACGUACAAGGACAAGAAGAUGGUGAAAACAUUUCUCAAGAGUCUGCCAGACAAGCUUCAGUCACACAAGUCAGAGAUUGAUGUAU